GACGAACGCUGGCGGCGUGCCUAACACAUGCAAGUCGAACGAAGCACCUUACCUGAUUCUUCGGAUGAAGGUCUGGUGACUGAGUGGCGGACGGGUGAGUAACGCGUGGGUACCUGCCCUGUACAGGGGGAUAACAGUUGGAAACGGCUGCUAAUACCGCAUAAGCGCACGAGAGGACAUCCUCUUGUGUGAAAAACUUCGGUGGUACAGGAUGGGCCCGCGUCUGAUGAGCUGGUUGGCAGGGUAACGGCCUACCAAGGCGACGAAUAGUAACCGGUCUGAGAGGAUGAACGGCCAAAUUUGAACGAAGACACGGUCCAAACUCCUACGGGAGGCAGCAGUGGGGAAUAUUGCACAAUGGGGGAAACCCUGAUGCAGCAACGCCGCGUGAGUGAAGAAGUAUUUCGGUAUGUAAAGCUCUAUCAGCAGGGAAGAUAAUGACGGUACCUGACUAAGAAGCUCCGGCUAAAUACGUGCCAGCCGCCGCCGUAAAAC
rnacentral:rRNA from 1 species